rnacentral:rRNA from 1 species
UAUUGGACAAUGGAGGCAACUCUGAUCCAGCGAUGCCGCGUGAAGGAAGACGGCCCUAUGGGUUGUAAACUUCUUUUAUACAGGAAGAAACCUUUCCACGUGUGGAAAGCUGACGGUACUGUAAGAAUAAGGAUCGGCUAACUCCGUGCCAGCAGCCGCGGUAAUGCGGAGGAUCCAAGCGUUAUCCGGAAUUAUUGGGUUUAAAGGGUCCGCAGGCUGUUUGUUAAGUCAGGGGUGAAAUCCUACCGCUCAACGGUAGAACUGCCUUUGAUACUGGCAAACUUGAGUUAUUGUGAAGUAGUUAGAAUGUGUAGUGUAGCGGUGAAAUGCAUAGAUAUUACACAGAAUACCGAUUGCGAAAGCAGAUUACUAACAAUAUACUGACGCUGAGGGACGAAAGCGUGGGUAGCGAACAGGAUUAGAUACCCUGGUAGUCCACGCCGUAAACGAUGGUCACUAGCUGUUCGAUGUACAUUGGUACGUUGAGUGGCUAAGCGAAAGUGAUAAGUGACCCACCUGGGGAGUACGCUCGCAAGAGUGAAACUCAAAGGAAUUGACGGGGGCCCGCACAAGCGGUGGAGCAUGUGGUUUAAUUCGAUGAUACGCGAGGAACCUUACCAGGACUUAAAUGUAAGUUGCAUGAUUCAGAAAUGAAUCUUUCUUCGGACUACUUACAAGGUGCUGCAUGGUUGUCGUCAGCUCGUGCCGUGAGGUGUCAGGUUAAGUCCUAUAACGAGCGCAACCCCUAUCGUUAGUUGCCAUCAAGUAAAGUUGGGAACUCUAGCGAAACUGCCGGUGCAAACCGAGAGGAAGGUGGGGAUGACGUCAAAUCAUCACGGCCCUUACGUUCUGGGCUACACACGUGCUACAAUGGUCGGUACAGAAAGCAGCCACUAUGCGAAUAGGAGCUAAUCUUUAAAACCGAUCUCAGUUCGGAUCGCAGUCUGCAACUCGACUGCGUGAAGCUGGAAUCGCUAGUAAUCGGAUAUCAGCCAUGAUCCGGUGAAUACGUUCCCGGGCCUUGUACACACCGCCCGUCAAGCCAUGGAAGCUGGGGGUACCUAAAGUCGGUGACCGAAAGGAGCUGCCUAGGGUAAAACUAGUGACUGGGGCUAAGUCGUAACAAGGUAGCCGUAUCGGAAGGUGCGGCUGGAAUACCUCCUUUCU